CGCCCGGCUGGAGAGACUUCGCCCCUGGCGGGAGGGGGCGGAGGCUAAGGGCCCGGCCGCAGGAAGCUGGCGGACGCGUGCUCCGGCCCGUACCACUUCGGCGGGCCCCGUCCUGGGAGCAGAGUGACUUUCGCUCGCUUUGAGGUAUAGGGUGUGACUGUCCGGCUCGCGCCAGGAAGGGGUGGGGAAGAAAUGUAGUUGUUUUUCUUUUUUGCUUUAAAAAAUGAUUUGGCCAUAAAGGGAGAGUUUUCGUUCUUCAGCUGCUCCAGUACGUGUGGUCACUUGGCCCCUGUCCCCACCGCCACGCCCCUCUCACCCUCUUGUGCCCACCCCCGACGUCUACUCCCGCCUUAAUUCCUUGCAAAGCGUGCCAAGUGGGCCUCGGAACCACACUGAAAUAUAAUAGGACUUCGACGUUUCCAUGGUUAUGAAUGCAGUUUCUGGUGUAAAAAAAAUUUUUUUUUAACGUGUGACAACGAUUUAUAAUGCAGGCUGUUCACCGGUUAGAAAUGAGAGAAAUGGCCGAGAGUUGACGCUGAAUGGACCUUCUUCACCAGACCUGCUUUUGUUGGGUGAUUCGAGUUGCACCCUCUCUAGCAAAGCUGACUAGAAAGAAGUGAUUCAAUCUUUCUAGAUCCAAGCAAGCGGUUCCAGAUGAGAGGGGCCCCAUCAAGCUCCUUCCCUGCGAACUACGCUCAGCACCUCGGCAUCAAGCCGCUGUAGCUUUGGACUGUGUCUGUGAGCAUCUGUGCUUGUAUCUGGAUUUAUUUGGUGCAUCUGUUAGUAAGAUGUGUCCUAAGAUCGAACACCAUCACUCAAGUCAAACAGCAGAUGCAGUUGACAGGUUGUGGAUGUGGCUGAUCAUAAAUGAUACUGCUGUGCCUGUGCGUCAAUAGCAGCUUUUAACAUGGAGCCCCUGUAGACAGGUACAAACACAUGGACUGGCACAACCUCACUUCAUUCUGUUACAAAAUCAUGUGCUUCUCUGAUGCUUGAAAGGGAUAUGCGACAUAUAGAAAAGGAAAUUACAACCAUUCAGUGACACUGCCCGUGUGACUUAACCAAGCUAAUGUAGCAAUGUUGAUCCAAAUCAAGUUUAAUGACAAAUCCUGUUAGGAGUGACCUGUGCCUACUUGGGUUAUAUGCUUGUAUGUAGCUAGAAAUGGGCCAAGGAAUCUCUCUUCAUUAGGGAUAGAGGUUGUUUUUUGGCUCAUCUAUUGCCUCCUGUAAUUAUUGGCAAUGACACCAAAGAUCAGCAUGUUAGUGAAAUGAAUAAUGGAUGGGCCUUAGGCUAGACUACAUCCUGACUGUCUGAAAUAGAGUCCUCUGGUCUUCCCUGGGACAGUCACCUGGGUCCAGGACUCUGGAAGGCAUAUUUGAGGUCAAUACUUGAGGUUAAUUUCAUCUUGUUGUUUGGAGUCCCGAUGAUGAUAGUAGCCUUGUGUGAGAAAUUUAGUUCUAGCCUCUGUUGGUUAAAGUAAUCAGAAUGGCCAAUAGAGUGACACACUUUUGUGACAGUUUGCUAGAAGCCAAGACAGGUAGGGGCAACAGGUGGAUUGAUGGGGAAAACAAUCUUCCACAGGUCCUGAACAUCCCUGCACAUUUUUGCUAGGUAUGCCAAGAAUUCAAGUUCCUUCCUGACUAUUCUUUCCUAAUGCCAUUUCUCUGGGUUGUGUUUAUAGUGAACACCGUGAGGGUUGAAGUUAUAUCAAGUCAUAUGUUUGCUUCUAAAUUAUUGCGUGUGUGUGUGUGUGAAGAAUUGAGUGAGAGUGUAGGUGAACCAUAUCAUCUAAAAAUUUGUAAUUGUUGAGGCUGGGUCAUAGGUACAUGUGGGUUCAAAGUACAGGCUUUCUUACCACUUACUAUAAAAACAGUAGAUUCCCAAGUGUGUUCCUUGUUAGCAAUACAAACUCAUUGUAUGUAUUAUAUCCUUCUGGGCCCCUCUAUGUUACCCCCAUGGGAUCUGGGAUAAGGCUCAUGCCGCUUGUUGUGUCAUGAGUAAUAAAGUCCUCUUCUGUGA